GACGAACGCUGGCGGCGUGCUUAACACAUGCAAGUCGAACGGAGUGGCGAACGGGUGAGUAACACGUGGGUGAUUUGCUUUGCAAUCUGGGAUAAGGGUGGGAAACUGGGUCUAAUUCCGGAUAGUGCAGGAUGAGCUCGCGGCCUAUUAGCUCGUUGGUGUGGUAAUUGCCUACCAAGGUGACGACGGGUAGCCGGCCUGAGAGGGUGUACGGCCACAUUGGGACUGAGAUACGGCCCAGACUCCUACGGGGGGCAGCAGUGGAGAAUAUUGCGCAAUAUGCGGAAGCCUGAUGUAGCGACGCCGCGUGGGGGAUGAAGGCCUUCGGGUUGUAAACUCCUUUCGACAGGGACGCGGUACCUGUAUAAGAAGCACCGGCUAACUACGUGCCAGCAGCCGCGGUAAUAC
rnacentral:rRNA from 1 species